rnacentral:rRNA from 1 species
GACGUAGGGCGCGAGCGUUGUCCGGAUUUAUUGGGCGUAAAGAGCUCGUAGGCGGCUUGUCGCGUCGAAUGUGAAAACUCGGGGCUCAACUCCGAGCUUGCAUUCGAUACGGGCAGGCUAGAGUUCGGUAGGGGAGACUGGAAUUCCUGGUGUAGCGGUGAAAUGCGCAGAUAUCAGGAGGAACACCGAUGGCGAAGGCAGGUCUCUGGGCCGAUACUGACGCUGAGACGCGAAAGCGUGGGGAGCGAACAGG